ensembl:lncRNA
UUUACAUCACAUAAGUCAUUUUCACAAUCAUUCUACUUUAAAAGAUUUCAAGACAGAGCUUAUUGUUCUCUGAACUUCCUUGUUUGCUGAACGGCAGGUAACGUGCAUCUUUUUGUUUGUUUGCUUUUGUGCGUUUGUGUUUUCUCUAAUGGGCCUCAGAUGACGGUUUGCUUAAAUUUGGGUCUCAAAGCAUUUUUUAAAAUUCUGCCUGUGCUCCCCACCCCUCUUCUUCUGUUGCUCAGGCUGAAGCAGAAUUUGCCCGUCUUACAUCUGUUGACCUGAAAGGGUUCCUUUUUGCUGUGCUUGACCAAUAUGGAGAGGUUCAUGGAGCUGUACAAAAUCAAGAGCGGCAUAGGAGGGCUGACUAGGCUCAUAAAAUGCUUCGGUGAUGAUGAAGAAGACAGAGGGCCUCAUCUUCUAAAGGAAGAUCCCUCACACACUCUCAAGACUGUGAAGCCACAGCCACCCUGGGGCGCACUGACAGAGGCGAGGCUGCCGGACACUGGCGCCACCGGGCCCUCUGACCACCACCAGCAGGCAGCAGGUGAAGUGUCUUGCCCAAGGACACAACGACCGAGAUUGUUGGAGCCGGGGCUCGAACCGGCAACCUUCCGAUUAUAAGACGAACUGUCAACUCCUGAGCCACGAUUCAGUCAUCCACCCAUGUGUGUGAAUGACUGGAUGUGUAAAGCGCUUUGGAGUCCUUAGGGGACUUGUCUUUGAACCCUUUUAUAGCCGACAGGUAUUGAAGACACAUUUACUAAGAGGAUGAAAGUUGGCAUUGUGUUGGUGAAAGAAGAAGACAUCAUCCAUGUGUUGGUUGUCCUUGAGGCGGCAGUAAUCCUGUCUAAUCUGAGGGAUGUCUCAAGUGCCAUUUCCAUGCUGAUGGGCCUUCUUUUUGCCUUCAACAUAG